CUUUCAAGUUCAAAAAUUGAACUUUCGUAACUGUCAAGUUCAAAAUUGAACGUUCAUUCCUUUUGAAGUUCAAAAACCACGUCUCUAAAUUCCACGGACUUCCCAUACAUCCUUCAGGAAACGCAUUUCCACGAAGCUUUCUUCGCCACUUCGAACCCAUUUGACCUCAUUAAAUGCUCAUCGGAUACAAUAUGCACUUUUCCAAUUUUUCCAGGGGGUAAUAUUUGCAAGAUGGACGAGGGCGGACCCAUUUACAAACUUAAAUGUGGAUCAAACACGCCCUUGUGUCUUUAUGGGGUGGCCAACUUCUUCUCAAACAAACAGACAACUCCUGGCCAUCAAUGCAACGAUGGCAGCUACUUUGCACGACUCACUUCAGACCGCAGACUGUGGAUUUCAACCACCAUCUUGCAGAACUUUAGCGAUAACUGAAUACCUUCAACAAAACAGCUGAUUUUUUCUCAUAUUCGAAAUUUGUAUCGAUCUGGAAUUAUUAUCAAAAGUAUUUGGCGAUAUGUAAGUUUGUUUCAGUCUAGCACUUGAAUGAUGUUCAAAAAAAUUUAAUCAAAUUUAAAGUAAGGUGUGUCAAAAGAAAGUAUCUUUGACAAUUUUUUCAAAUUUUUGAAGCUGUACAUUACGAGGCCAAACUGUGCACUGGAUAGGAGCACAAUUUUGUGUCUGUAAGUUCCUGGAUUCCAGAGACAAGUCUUUAAACAUGUUACAAUUUUGUAGGACGAUCAAAGAGAAGGAAAGAACAAAAGAAGAACAAAGGGAGCGUCCUUGUAGUGGAAUCCGCUUACA